UACGUAGGGUGCGAGCGUUGUCCGGAAUUAUUGGGCGUAAAGGGCUCGUAGGCGGUUUGUCGCGUCGGGAGUGAAAACUCAGGGCUUAAUCCUGAGCCUGCUUCCGAUACGGGCAGACUAGAGGUAUGCAGGGGAGAACGGAAUUCCUGGUGUAGCGGUGAAAUGCGCAGAUAUCAGGAGGAACACCGGUGGCGAAGGCGGUUCUCUGGGCAGUUACCUGACGCUGAGGAGCGAAAGUGUGGGGAGCGAACAGG
rnacentral:rRNA from 1 species